rnacentral:lncRNA from 1 species
ACAACUACAACUAAAAAAGAUAUUUAAAAAAGAAAAGUUAAUAGAGAUGUUUCUAUUAAACUAUUAUUCUCCCCACCCCAUUUGUUAUAUAGGGAGAUAGAAGAAAGGAUUUUUUUUUUUGGUACCAGGGAUUGAACCCAAGGACCACAUCCCCAGCCCUUUUUUAUAUUUUACUUAGAGACAGGGUUUUGAUGAAUUGCUUAGGGCCUUACUAAUUUCUGAUGCUGGUUUUGAACUCUUGAUUCUUCUGCUUCAGCCUCCAGAGCCACUGGGAUUAUAGGAUGCGAAAUGGAAGAACAUUCUCCUCAAUAGAGACUUAGAGUCUGAUUUUGAGUUAACCUGUAACUUUUGUUUUUAUUUUAGAAGCGGAGGAUUCUGAUGACAGUGCUUGAAAUCUUGAUGCCAUUACUAUUUUCUGCAGUUGUAUUGUAUCUUCGUUUUAAUAGUGUCCCAAGAAAAAGAGCUGCUACUAAUUACAGUGCAAUUGAUGUCAGUUCGCUGCCAGACUUCUUCCAUCAGUUUCCUGUGAAAAAUAAAUUUCAACUAGUUUAUAUCCCUUCCAAGAGUGAGACUUUGAAGGCUCUCACUGAAAUGGUGGAAGAUACUUUCGAUGUUGAGUUUGAAGGUUAGACUUAAGGUGGGGAAAGGAUAGGGAAGGUAUUUUCACAUAGUAUGAAACUGUUUUCUGAGAGUUCUGCUUAUAGAAGUAAUUCCAAAUCUGAGGUUUUCAAAUUCUAAAGAGCCCACGCAGGUGGUAGUUGGAGGAAAACUAUCCAUGAUACAUUUUUAUUAUUUCAAAAAACACACUAGAGACAUAUAUUUAUAUCAUGAGGCUUCAAGGGUAAUCAAAAUGUUAAAUGUUAAUAAGUAUUUUUAACUAUCAUGACCCUAUUAUUUCAUGUUAAUCAGAAGAUCUGAUUGCCAGUUAUUACAUGUCUCUAAUAAAGAAUGGAAACCAUUCAGAGA